CUGAUGGAACAAUAAGAACAACUGCACGAGAAGUGGGAAUUGAGAAAGAGUUUGAAAGGUUGUGGGUCGCAGCGGGUGGCAAGAAGGAUAAAAUACCAUCGAUUUGGGAUGCAAGAGCGGUCAUGAUACCUGAGGAACCAGGCGAGGAGGAACCAGGUUUGGAAUGGAGAUAGAUACCCGCUCCUAAAGUCAUCUUCCCGAAGCCCUGUGACUGGGGAAAACAGGAAUUCAUCAAUUGGACCAAGCUUGUGUCCCAGGGCCAUGGGAUUUCCAACUUUGAGAAGGAUAAAAUCAGUUAUAACUGGCUUGAGCAUUAUCGAGGCAUUCCUCACAGGAAGCUGAUAACAAGAGCCACAGUUAAAAGAUAAACAUCUCGAAUUGUAUAAGCCUGAUUUUGUAUUUGUUAAGGGAGACCAAGCCUUCGUGGUGGAUGUGACAGUGAGCUACGACAGUAAAACAACAUCCUUGGCCAACGCAGCAGCAGAGAAAGCUAAGAAAUAUGACCAUCUUAAAGAUGAAGUUCAAGAACUGACCAAUGCCAAUACCAUCAAAUUUAUGGGAUUCCCCCUAGGAGCACGUGGGAAAUGGUACCAUGGGAGUCAUGAAUUGCUAACAGAACUCGGACUCUCUAAGUCCUGAUGAGAGAAGGUAACUCACAGUUUGUCGAGGCGAGCGUUACUGACUUCUGUGGACAUUGUUCAUAUAUUUGCUAGCCAAUCAAGGACGCUUAUAAGAACCUAGUAAUUAUUGUAUCAUGUACAUAUGUGCGAUUGUAAACAAACUGACUUCUUAUGAUGGGAGCCCGGCAAAUGAAGAGAGUAGUGGUAUUUCACCACAGCCGGGAAUGGAUAGCAAGUAUGCAGGGAAAACAACUGGGCUCGGUAACAUGACGUGUCAUGCUCCUGCCAAAAGACACCAAUUACUGGACUUGUCUAAGGUGGAUGGGCCACCUAUACUUAACCUGGAAAAGGAAUAUGUAUAAUUUUAUAUACAUUCACUAAAUAGCCAAAUGCCUCAUCACCUGAUUAGUGACACGCAUGAAUGGAUGAACAAGAUUCCCACUGUCCCUACCUACUAUCCAGUGAAACCACAGCCAAGGGCACAGGCUUGGCGGAAUCAGCAGGGAAAGAAGACCCUGUUGAGCUUGACUCUAGUCUGGUGCUGUGAAGAGGCAUGAGAGGUGUACACUAAGUGGGAGGCUGGGUGCAUACUCGGCAGUGCAGGGCGACCCACCUGCUGGCGUCCCGGCCAUCAGUGAAACACCACUACUCUGAUGUUUUUUUCACUUACCGGGGCGGGGGGGGGGCCUCAAGGGAGGCUCUUGCUUCUGGUGCCAAGCGCCCGGCGCGCACUGGGCACAACCCACUCCAGGGACAGUGGCAGGUAAGGAGUUUGACUGGGGCAGUACAGCUGUCAAAGCGUAACACAGGCGUCCUAAGGCGAGCUCAGGGAGGAUGGAAACCUGCCGCGGAGCAGAAGGGCAAAAGCUCACUUGAUCUUGAUUUUCAGUACGAAUACAGACCGUGAAAACAGGGCGUCACAAUCCUUUGUGGGUUUUGGGGUUUAAGCAGGAGGUGUCAGAAAAGUUACCACAGGGAUACCCAGCUUGUGAUGGCCAAGCAUUCAUAGUGAUGCCGCUUACUGAUCCUUCGAUGUCAGCUCUUCCUAUCAUUGUGAAGCAGAAUUCCCCAAGCACUGGAUUGUUCACCCAGUAAUAGGGAACAUGAGCUGGGUUUAGACUGUUGUGAGACAGGUUAGUUUUACCCUACUGAUGAUGUGUUGUUGCAAUAGUAAUCCUGCUUGGUACGAGAGGCAGCAGAGGUUCAGAGACAUGGUGC
rnacentral:ncRNA from 1 species